rnacentral:rRNA from 1 species
CAAAAACAUCGCCUCUUGCUUAAUAUAAGAGGUCUAGCCUGCCCAGUGAAAUUUUAACGGCCGCGGUACUCUGACCGUGCGAAGGUAGCAUAAUCACUCGUUCUUUAAAUAGGGACUUGUAUCAAUGGCAUCACGAGGGUUGCACUGUCUCCUCUCUCCAAUCAGUGAAUCUAAUCUUCCCGUGAAGAAGCGGGAAUGUAAAUAUAAGACGAGAAGACCCCAUGGAGCUUUAAACCUUAUGGCAAUUUAAAUUAAACAAUUCCUUAUAUAUUUUAAAUAAUGCAUGAAGGUUUUAGGUUGGGGUGACCGCGGAGCAUAAAACAACCUCCACAACGAAAAGACCUAAAUCUUUAUCCAAGAAUUACUAUUCUAAGAAUCAGAAUACUGAUGAAAAGUGACCCGAUAAUCGAUCAAUGGACCAAGUUACCCUGGGGAUAACAGCGCAAUCUACUUUAAGAGCUCAUAUCGACAAGUAGGCUUACGACCUCGAUGUUGGAUCAGGGUAUCCCAGUGGUGCAACCGCUACUAAUGGUUCGUUUGUUCAACGAUUAAAACCCCUACAUGAUCU